rnacentral:rRNA from 1 species
AAUUAUUGGGUUUAAAGGGUCCGUAGGCGGGUCGAUAAGUCAGGGGUGAAAGUCUGCCGCUCAACGGUAGAACUGCCUUUGAUACUGUCGGUCUUGAGUUAUAGUGAAGUUGCCGGAAUAUGUAGUGUAGCGGUGAAAUGCAUAGAUAUUACAUAGAACACCGAUUGCGAAGGCAGGUGACUAACUAUAUACUGACGCUGAUGGACGAAAGCGUGGGGAGCGAACAGGAUUAGAUACCCUGGUAGUCCACGCCGUAAACGAUGGAUACUAGCUGUCCGGAACCUUGAGUUCUGGGCGGCCAAGCGAAAGUGAUAAGUAUCCCACCUGGGGAGUACGUUCGCAAGAAUGAAACUCAAAGGAAUUGACGGGGGCCCGCACAAGCGGUGGAGCAUGUGGUUUAAUUCGAUGAUACGCGAGGAACCUUACCAGGGCUUAAAUGCAUAUUGACAGGUCUAGAGAUAGAUUUUCCUUCGGGCAAUUUGCAAGGUGCUGCAUGGUUGUCGUCAGCUCGUGCCGUGAGGUGUCAGGUUAAGUCCUAUAACGAGCGCAACCCCUACCGUUAGUUGCCAGCAUGUCAUGAUGGGGACUCUAACGGGACUGCCGGUGCAAACCGUGAGGAAGGUGGGGAUGACGUCAAAUCAUCACGGCCCUUACGUCCUGGGCCACACACGUGCUACAAUGGCAGGUACAGAGAGCAGCCACGUCGCAAGGCGGAGCGAAUCUAUAAAACCUGUCACAGUUCGGAUCGGGGUCUGCAACUCGACCCCGUGAAGCUGGAAUCGCUAGUAAUCGGAUAUCAGCCAUGAUCCGGUGAAUACGUUCCCGGGCCUUGUACACACCGCCCGUCAAGCCAUGGAAGCCGGGAGUGCCUGAAGUCC